rnacentral:lncRNA from 1 species
AUACUGACGAAUGGCAUCCAUCUCCAAUGUCGCCAUCAAAGAUAAUAUGCAGAAUAAAUUGAAAAAAAAAAAAGUUCAAGGCCUCCAAGGCUCCAAGCUUAUGCUUUCAUAAGCCAUAUGCAUGAGCCGCACCUGAAAGGCUGAACUAAGAUAAGUUGUAGUUAGUCGUCGGCUUGCCUGUUGUGUUUUGUGUCUCGUAUUCUCUCGUAUCUGAUCUUUUACUCCGAUCCCUUCUGUUUGCUUUUUCCUUUGUUUUCUUGAGUCAUGAUCCCGGUUCAGAUCUGGAGAUGGAAUUUCUAGAAAUAGAAAACGGCUGGCGCGGACAUCCGUGCGCUUGGAUCGAGGCGUUGGAAAUGCACUUACAAACUUCAGAAUCCAUGCCACCUUUUACAGGACGCCUUGACCGGAUGCAGACAAUCCGCCAAGUUCUGAGAAACAAUUUCUUGUCGAUCAUUUGAGCCGCCUAUUGUCUGAUUCGUUGAUCCGGAUGGGAUCUGCGUCGUAUGCCUCCUCCCAUAUCCCCGACCAAAUCACGAUGUACGAAAAGAGAUGGAUAUGAGCGAAUUUUGACUCAAUCUUUACUUCAUUUCCAUCUAUAAUAUACAUAGUGUACGGAGUACCGGACG